rnacentral:rRNA from 1 species
UACAGAGGGUGCAAGCGUUAAUCGGAAUUACUGGGCGUAAAGCGCAUGUAGGUUGUUAUAUAAGUUUGAUGUGAAAGCCCUGGGCUUAACCUGGGAAUUGCGUUGAAUACUGUAUGACUAGAGUCGGAUAGAGGGUAGUGGAAUUUCAGGUGUAGCGGUGAAAUGCGUAGAUAUCUGAAAGAACACCAGUGGCGAAGGCGGCUACCUGGAUCCAGACUGACACUGAGAUGCGAAAGCGUGGGGAGCAAACAGG